rnacentral:rRNA from 1 species
UACGAAGGGGGCUAGCGUUGCUCGGAAUCACUGGGCGUAAAGCGCACGUAGGCGGCUUUGUAAGUUAGAGGUGAAAGCCCGGGGCUCAACUCCGGAACUGCCUUUAAGACUGCAUCGCUUGAAUCCGGGAGAGGUGAGUGGAAUUCCGAGUGUAGAGGUGAAAUUCGUAGAUAUUCGGAAGAACACCAGUGGCGAAGGCGGCUCACUGGACCGGUAUUGACGCUGAGGUGCGAAAGCGUGGGGAGCAAACAGG